rnacentral:lncRNA from 1 species
UGUAUAAGAGCCGAAAUAGGAGUAGGCCCCUCUAUAGCAUCAUGUAACCAUACGUGAAGGGGGAAUUGGGUGGAUUUAGCAACUGCACUGACAAAUAAGAGACAACGCAUAAAGUAACAAAUAAAAAAUUGACCUCAUUAUUAUAAAUCAAGUUAUUGAAUAUUUCGAAUAAAUCCCUAAAUUCGAAACUCCCCGUUAUCCAAUAAAAACCUAAAAUUCCUAAUAAUAAACCAAAAUCCCCAACACGAUUAGUUACAAAGGCUUUUUGACAAGCAUUUGCCGCAACAGGUCGUGUAAACCAAAAUCCUAUUAAUAGAUAGGAACACAGACCAACCAAUUCCCAAAAAAUAUAAAUUUGUAUCAAAUUCGAACUAGUAACUAAUCCCAACAUGGAAGUACUGAAAAAACUCAUAUAAGCAAAAAAUCUCAAAUAGCCUUGAUCAUGAGCCAUAUAAUUAUCACUAUAAAUAAGAACCAUAAUCCCAACAGUAGCGAUUAGUAUUAACAUAAUAGAAGUAAGUGGGUUGGUCAAUUGUCCGAAGUCUAAAGAAAAAUCAUUAUUAAAUAUCCAAUACCAUACAUAUAGAGAAAAAGAACUGCUAUUUAUUUGCUGAAUAGACAGGUAGAUUGAAAAAAUCAUGACUAUGCUUGACAAUAAAACACUUUGAAAAGCCCACAUACGGCAAAAACUUUUUUUUGCCGUUGGAAAAAGAAUAAGUCCCACUCCUAUUAACAUAGGGACUGGAAGUGGAAUGAAAGGUAUGAUCCACGCAUAUUCAUAUGUCUGUCCCAUAAAAAUGUUUUUAAUUCUUAAUUAAUUAUUUUUGAUUCACCGGAUCUUACCUCUUAUGAAAAGAGUCAAUAAAAAGUAAAAAUAUGAACUAACUUAAACUAAAUUAAAACUUAAAUCGAAUUUUCUAUUCUUAUCUUUUGGCUAUAUCGAUAAUGUUUUAUUUUAGUAUUAUAAAUUGAGUAUUAUAAAGAAUUCAUUUUGAACAAUAGAUGUAUUUCACAUCUAACUAUAACUAACAAUGAGGAAUUUUAUAAUGGCAGUUCCAAAAAAAUGCACUUCGAGAUCAAAAAAACGUAUUCGUAAAAAUAUUUGGAAAAGGAAGACAUAUUGGAUAGCAUUAAAGGAGUUUUCAUUAGCGAAAGCUAUUUUUACUGGGGAGUGAAAAAGUUUUUUUUGGGUACGCCAAACAAAAAUAAAUAAGUAAUAAAACAUUAGAAUAAUUUGAAUCAACUUGAAAAAAUAAUCCAAUAUAUUCUAAAAUUAUUCAAUUAUUAUCUAAUUGAAUAAUUUAAGGAUUUUCCUUUCAUAAUAGAAUUAGGAAAUCCUAUAUUUACUAUUCACUGAAUAAUAACUUUUUUGUUGACAAAAGAAUAAAGAUCGUUUCUAUUCCAAGGUGGGGAGUUUGAUUUUCCCCACCGACCUAUUUGUUUGCAGAAUUAAAUUAAAAAAAAAAUUCUAUAUUUCGAUUCUAUUUCCAUCUCUCCAUAUCUAGAGAAGAACGUAUAUAAAAAUCUUUAGUGAAAGUUAAGAACUCAUUGAAACUAAUUGAUUCUAUUUUGCAACCUUUGUGUUUUGUCUAACUUUAUAACUUUUUAUUUUCUCUGAAUUAUUAUAUAGACCCCAUGUAUAUCUUGCCCUUAACCCAAUAGAGAAAAUUGCUUAAUGAAAUUUUGUAUGACUAAUUGUCAAUUUUGAGCGAUGCAAAAUAGGUUCUUUUCUUUCUAUUUUGUCGUCAAAAUACCUUUUUUGUUUUAGAUUUAUGAAAAAUAAAUAAAUAAUAAAUUGCUGAUUAAACAAUGAAAACAAAAACUUUUUGAACUCUAUUCCUUAAUUGAAUAUAGAACGGUUUAGUUACAAGAGUUCAAUUCGCGGAAAGCAUAAAAUAUAGGAAAGUUCCAGGUUAAAUAAAAAAACUAAGACUCUAAACUCAAAUCUAAAAUAAUGAACCUUCAACCUCCAAUUCCUAUUUGAACAACCUUUUAUUGUUAUUAAUCCAUUUGAAUCAUUACUAAACUAAAAUAGCUUACUCAAUCUCGACGAUUGCUUAUUCAUAGGCUAUUAUGAGUUCAAGACAGGCCGCUAUGGUGAAAUUGGUAGACACGCUGCUCUUAGGAAGCAGUGCUAAUGCAUCUCGGUUCGAGUCCGAGUGGCGGCAUACCGUCUUCUAAAAAGGAUAAAUAGAUCUUAUAAUGAAUUCAAUUCCCGAUUUCCAUUUUAGAAUUAUGUAAUUAAGGGACUCUUCUUUUUUAAGAUUUUUAUGAUAUUUUCAACCUUAGAGCAUAUAUUAACUCACAUUUCCUUUUCGAUCGUUUCAAUUGUAAUUACAAUUCAUUUGAUAACCUUUUUAGUCGAUGAAAUCGUAAAGCUAUACGAUUCGUCAGAAAAGGGCAUAAUAGUUACUUUUUUCUGUAUAACAGGAUUAUUAGUUACUCGUUGGAUUUCUUCGGGACAUUUCCCACUAAGCGAUUUAUAUGAAUCAUUAAUUUUCCUUUCAUGGAGCUUCUCCCUUAUUCAUAUAAUUCCGUAUUUCAAAAAAAAUGUUUUAAUUUUAAGUAAAAUAACGGGGCCAAGUGCUAUUUUUACCCAAGGCUUUGCUACUUCAGGUAUUUUAACUGAAAUACACCAAUCUGGAAUAUUAGUACCUGCUCUUCAAUCUGAGUGGUUAAUAAUGCACGUAAGUAUGAUGAUAUUGGGCUAUGCAGCCCUUUUAUGUGGAUCGUUAUUAUCAGUAGCACUUCUAGUGAUUACAUUUCGAAAAAACAGAAAGCUUUUUUAUAAGAGCAAUGGUUUUUUAAACGAGUCAUUUUUCUUGGGUGAAAAUGUUUUAGAAAAUACUUCGUUUUUUUCUGCUAAAAAUUAUUACAGGUCCCAAUUGAUUCAACAAUUGGAUUAUUGGAGUUAUCGGGUUAUUAGUUUAGGAUUUACUUUUUUAACCAUAGGAAUCCUUUCGGGAGCGGUAUGGGCUAAUGAAGCGUGGGGGUCGUAUUGGAAUUGGGACCCAAAAGAAACUUGGGCAUUUAUUACUUGGAUCGUAUUUGCAAUUUAUUUACAUACUCGAACACAUAGAAAUUUGCGGGGUGCAAAUUCUGCAAUUGUAGCGUCUAUAGGCUUUCUUAUAAUUUGGAUAUGCUAUUUUGGGGUCAAUCUAUUAGGAAUAGGGUUACAUAGUUAUGGUUCUUUUCCAUCAACAUUUAAUUGAAUUCAAGACAAGUUAUUACAAAUACACGAGCGGGCGGCGCAUUGUAUGAACCAACAUGCGGACCGUGUGAAUCAUCAAUACAAUAUUUGAUUCACACGGUUUUCUACCAUAUGUAGUUCAAUUUCAUUGUUUUUACUUAACUUAAGAGUUAAGAGAAGAAAAAAAGAAGACUUUUUUUCAUUGUCCAAGAAUGGUUUUAAAAACAAACAUAGGUUUUUUUAUUUCAGUCAUCCAAAUUAUCUAUAAAAAAAAUUAGAUAGAAUAACUUCGACCUUGUCAAUUGCUAAUGAAAGAACGAAAUCGGGGUAUAUACCAAUACCUAUUACGGGUAAAAAGAUGGAGAUCGAAAGAAAUAACUCUCGGGGUCCAGAAUCAAAAAAAGAAUCCUUCGGGGCAUUAAAUAGCUUGUAUCCAUAGAACAUCUGGCGUGACAUAGAUAAUGAAUAAAUAGGAGUUAAUAUCAUUCCAAUUGCCAUUACAAAAGUAAUUAGUAGUUUUGGAAUUAAAAGAUAUUUUUGGCCGGUAAUUAUUCCAAAAAAUACUAUCAAUUCGGCAACAAAACCACUCAUACCUGGUAAUGCAAGGGAAGCCAUCGAAAAGCUACUGAACAUCGUGAACAUUUUUGGCAUUGGAAUAGCUAUUCCGCCCAUUUCGUCAAGAUAAACAAGGCGGAUUCUAUCAUAAGUCGUUCCCGCCAAGAAAAAAAGUGCAGCACCAAUAAAUCCAUGAGAGAUUAUUUGUAAAAGGGCUCCAUUAAGUCCCGUAUCGGUUAGAGAACUAAUUCCUAUAAUUAUGAAACCCAUAUGAGAGACAGAGGAAUAGGCUAUUCUUUUUUUUAAAUUCCGUUGGCCAAGAGAUGUUGAAGCUGCAUAGAUUAUUUGUAUUGUACCUAUUAUCAUCAACCAAGGAGAAAAUAUAGAAUGGGCAUGAGGUAAUAAUUCCAUAUUGAUUCUAAUUAAUCCAUACGCUCCCAUUUUUAAUAAGAUUCCGGCUAGAAGCAUACAAGUACUGUAAUGUGCUUCUCCAUGGGUAUCUGGUAACCAUGUGUGUAGGGGGAUAAUGGGCGAUUUGACAGCAAAAGCAAUAAAAAAUCCAAUAUAGAAGAUUAUUUCUAAAACCACAGGAUAUGACUGAUUAACUGAUGUUUCAAAAUUUAAUGUUGGUUCAUUAGAACCAUAUAAAGCAACACCCAAAACUCCCAUUAAGAGAAAAACAGAACCCCCCGCCGUGUACAAAAUAAAUUUUGUAGCUGAGUACAGACGUUUCUUUCCUCCCCACAUGGCUAGAAGUAGAUAAACAGGAAUUAAUUCUAACUCCCACAUGAUGAAAAAAAGUAAAAGGUCCCGAGACGAAAAUGAUCCAAUUUGGCCACUGUACAUUGCUAACAUGAGAAAAUGGAAUAAUCGAGAAUCUCGAGUAACUGGCCAAGCCGCCAAAGUCGCUAAGGUAGUGAUAAAUCCUGUUAAUAAAAUGGGUCCUAUAGAAAGUCCAUCUAUUCCUAAUUUCCAAUGGAAAUCAAAAAAAUCGAUCCAUUUAUAAUCCUCCACUAGUUGUAUUAAUGGAUCAUCCGAUUGGAAAUGAUAACAAAAUGCAUAAGUCGUUAGAAGGAGUUCUAAAAUACAUAUACAUAGAGUAUACCACCUAAUUACCCGAUUUCCUUUAUGGGGAAGAAAGAAAAUUAAAGAACCCGCAAAUAUCGGAAAAACAACAAUUAUUGUUAACCAAGGAAAAUAAUUCGUAGUAAAGACAAGAUACACUUGGACCAAAAAAACCCGUGCUCAAAAUAUUUUUAUUUUCGAGCACAGGUUUGUCGGUAAAAAAAAUUAAAUGGAUUCGAGUAGAGUUUUCUCGAACGUAUCAAUAAGCUAGACCCAUACUGCGAGUUGUUUCAUGCCAUAAAUAAACUCGGACACUCAAGAAAUCUGUUGGACAAGCGGAUUCACAUCUCUUACAACCAACACAGUCCUCUGUUCGUGGAGCAGAAGCAAUUUGUUUAGCCUUACAACCGUCCCAAGGUAUCAUUUCUAAUACAUCGGUGGGGCAGGCUCGGACACAUUGAGUACAUCCUAUACACGUAUCAUAAAUCUUUACUGAAUGUGACAUUGGGUCUAUACGUUUUUGAAUGUUAUAAAUUUUCGAUCUAGUAAACUUAGAAACGAAUCAUAUAUUUAGAUACCAGACGAAUCAAUGAGUUAUCAUAAUUUUCUAAUCAACCCCCUUCGGGAUUGGUUUAUGAAAUAUGAGAGAGGCCAAAAUACUUUGAUUUCUUAUGUUUUGCAAACAAGAUCAUACCUUACGUAGCAAACAUGCUAAUUAAAAUCGAUUUAUCAAUAUUAGAAUCUAGAUGAUUAAUACUAAUUAUUCAACAAAUUUGAUUGGUUGAUACGAGUUGAUUUUCUGUUACGGUAAAUUGAUGAAACAAUAGCCAGUCCAAUGGCUGCUUCAGCAGCUGCAAUAGCUAUAACAAAAAUUGAGAAAAUGUCUCCUUUUAAUUGACGAUUAUCAAAAAAAUCAGAAAAUGUUACAAAAUUUAUAUUAACCGCAUUCAAUAUAAGUUCAAGACACAUAAGGGCUCUAACCAUAUUUCGACUUGUGAUCAAUCCAUAGAUACCGAUAGAAAAUAAAUAGGCACUCAAAACAAGUACAUGCUCGAGAAUCAUUAAACAACUCCUUAUCAAUCUCGACUCCUUUCAAUAUGAACAACAAUUCAACCAAUUUAAUUGACUAGUAUAUAACAAGUAUGGAACAACGAAAUAUAUUGGUACUAGAUUGACCUAAAGUCUUUCUAUUUAUACAGCUGAAAUUCAAAUAUAAUUGAAGGAAAAUGAAUGUGAUAAGACAGAACAAAAUUUUAUUUGAAUUCCAAGUUUUAAUAGAAAUUUUUUAUUGCCGAGCUACAGCAAUUGCACCUAUUAAAGCAACUAAAAGGAUUAUUGAAAUAAGUUCAAAUGGAAGAAAAAAAUCUGUUGAUAAAUGAAUUCCAAUUUGUUGACUAUUACUUAGAAAAUCUUGCUCUAUAAUCUGGUUUGAUCUUGUAGUCCAAAUAAUACCGUACCAUGACGUAUCUGAAAUAGUAGUAAUUAGUGAAAUAAAAAGACUUAUACAAACCAUCGAAGUAAUUCCAUCUCCUACGGUCCAAAGAUGAAAAUCUUUGUAAUAUUCUGAACCAUUCAUGAACAUCACAGCAAAAAUGAUUAAAACAUUUAUAGCUCCUACGUAAAUAAGUAGCUGCGCAGCAGCUACAAAAUAGGAGUUAGAUAGAAUAUAGAAUAACGAUGUACAAAAAAGAACCAACCCCAAGGAAAAGGCAGAAUAAAUUGGAUUGGGAAGUAAUACCACUCCUAGACCCCCUAAUAUAAGACCCGAUCCUAGAAAGACUAAAAGAAAAUCAUGUAUUGGUUCAGAUAAAUCCAUUUUUUAUAAAAAAUCAAAAACGAAGAAUUUCAUGACUUUAUUGACCUGACCAGGAAAAAAGAAGUUUUUCUAUUUUUUAUGAUACUUUUAAAUUGUUAAUUGAAUGAAAUUGUAAUGGGUAUGAAUUGACGUAGAUGUUUUUAUUUUAUUGGACCACUAUCAAUUCUUUAUUCGUCGAAAGAGUAGUUUAAACCUAUCUAUUUUUGAUAUCAUUUAUCUACUUUAAAACCAUUACUAUUAUAAUAUAGAAAUCCGUUUUGUUUUCAAUCUAAAUUAAGCUAGGAGUCUCAUUAAGCAACCACUAGUUUGAAUUGACCAAGCAAAAAUCUCAUUCUUUUAGAUACGAACUAAGCCUUCGUAAUUCGUAAUUUUUUUCGAAUCAAAUUAGGGAUUUAUUCAUUGUUUAUUUGAAGUAAAUUCGAAACUGUUCGAAUUGUGUAAUCAUCAAUUACUGACAUUGGUAAGCGACCCAAAGCGAUUUGAUUAUAAUUCAAUUCGUGACGAUCAUAAGUAGAAAGUUCAUAUUCUUCGGUCAUUGAUAAACAAUUUGUUGGGCAAUACUCAACGCAAUUACCACAAAAUAUACAGAUUCCAAAAUCAAUACUGUAAUUAAGCAAUCGUUUCUUUCGAAUAUCAGUUUCCAACUUCCAAUCAACAACGGGUAAAUCUAUAGGACAUACACGCACACAUACUUCACAAGCAAUGCAUUUAUCAAAUUCAAAGUGUAUUCGGCCUCGGAAACGUUCCGGUGUGAUCAAUUUUUCGUAGGGGUAUUGAAUAGUUACAGGUAAACGAUUUGCGUGGGACAGGGUAAUCAUGAAACCUUGGCCGAUGUAUCUGGCGGCUCGUAUUGUUUGUUGACCAUAAUUUAUGAAUUCAGUUAUCAUAGGGAGCAUAUUUAGAAUAUCUAUAAAAAACAUUUUAUGCUUGUUUCUUUCUCUUGUUUGAGACAAGUCGUGAAUCUAGAAUAUUGUGGUCUUUUACAGUGAAAGAAGUUGGGACGAGGUUGUCAAUAAUAGAUUACCUAGAGAAAUAGGUAAAAGAAAUUUCCACCCAAGAUUUAAUAGUUGGUCCAUUCUCAGCCUCGGUAAAGUCCAUCUUGUUGCAAUAGGAAUGAACAAAAACAAAUAAGUUUUGGCUAAUGUGAUAAAGAUACCAAUUAGUGUUCCAAAGACUUUACCCCUUUUAUUUAUGCCAAAUAGCUCAGGAACAAAUAUGUACGGAAUAGAAAGAUUCCAACCUCCCAAGUAAAGAACUGUUACAAAUAAUGAAGAAACUAGUAGAUUCAGAUAUGAAGCAAUGUAAAAUAAACCAAAUUUGAUACCUGAAUAUUCGGUUUGAUACCCUGCUACUAAUUCUUCUUCUGCUUCUGGUAAAUCAAAAGGUAAUCUUUCACACUCGGCUAGAGAAGAAAUUAGAAAAACGAUAAACCCGAUGGGUUGACGCCACAAAUUCCACCCCCAAAAACCAUAUUUUGACUGCGCUUCCACUAUAUCAACUGUACUUGAACUGUUAGAUAAUCAUAGUCGAUGAUAACAUCACUGUGCCCAUCGCUAUUACAGAACCGUACGUGAGAUUUUCACCUCAUACGGCUCCUCAGAGGUCACAAAUAAAUCUAAGGGCCCUUUCCUACUCUUUAUCUUGAUAUGUUUGUCAGAUAGAGUCAAAAUCUAUCCUAAGGUCCUAAAUUAGACCAAUGGAAUUCUGUCUGCUAUAUUUAAAACUAAUAAAUAAGUGCUUCUGAAUUGAUCUCAUCUUUUAAGAAUUUUAAUUUUUCUUUGUUGAUUAAUAACCUUAUCAUUAAAUAAAAUGCGCUUUAUAGCAAUAUCCUAUAUACAUUUCAACUUCGAAUUUUCAAUUACGAAAAAAAUUAGAGAGUCCAUUAGUUCAUGAAUCAUGACAAAAAUUUUCUCUCUCUAAAUCGAAAUAAAAAUUUAAUUAUAGGAAAGAAAGAAUAAAAAAAAAAAAGACAUCCCCCCUUUUUGCUUUUGCAAUUUGAUUCUUUUCUUUCUAUUUCGAUUUAUUUUAUUUCAUUCCUAUUCUCCUUUCUCAGAAAAAGGGCCUUUCUUUAACCAAAGUAAAAGAUUACUUCGUUCUUGAUAGUUAUUUACUUACUAAGUGGAUAGGAACAUACUCUGGAUCAGAAUCAUGGGGAGUACUUCUUGAUCAUUUCUACGAACGCAAAGCCCCAAUUCGAAUUCCUUUUAUGUACAGAAAUAUCCUCUUGGAUAACUUCCAUAAUCUCAAUUACUAAUCCUUUGUGUAUCUUGGUCUUCCUAACCAUCCACUCAUUUUUGCUUUCAACCUCUCGUUGUGGAAAUCCAUCUAUGGUAAUAGACAGUAAAAACCCCAUAAAGUUGAUACAGUUGAUCUUUUGAACCCGCUUCAAGCUAUCAUGACAAUUCAUCAAUCUUGGGGUAAACAAUCUCUCGUGCAUAUGUUUACUUUUUUCACCAUUUGAUUUUUGUACAUAGGAAAUGAGACUCAACCUUUUUACUCCAACUUUAGAAGCCGUUUUCUUUCACUCAUAUAACUAUCUGGUUUAGUUCAUCAACUCAAAUGCUGAAGAAAAAUUAAAAUAUAAAAUAUAUAUAGUCAAUCAAAUCUUUUUAUCCUUGUUUCUAGAGUUUCUAGAAAGAAAAGAAUUUGGAGAAAUUUUAGGUCUCACCGAAUCACACGUAGAGAUAUUGAUAACACACAUAGAGCUAAUGGUAUUUCAUAACUAAUUGAUUGGGCGGCUGCCCGUAAACCACCUAAAAAGGAAUAUUUAUUAUUUGAUCCAUAUCCUGACAUAAUAAGUCCAACGGGAGCAAUACAUGAAAUGGCAAUCGAUAAAAAAACACCAAUACUAAGAUCGGCUAGAACAAGGUGAUCGCUAAAAGGAAUUACUGAAUAACUUAGAAAGAUAGAUAUUACUGCUAUGGAUGGUCCGAUACUGAAUAAAUGAGUAUAUCCUGUAGAUGGAAUAAGGUUCUCUUUCAAAAGUAGUUUUGUCCCAUUUGCUAAAGCUUGAAGAAUUCCUAAAGGGCCGGCGUAUUCCGGUCUGAUACAUUGUUGUGUUCCCAUAGAUAUUUCUCUUUCUAACCAAACAAUUAAUUGUACACCUAUUGUGAUUCCUAACACGAGUCAAAAUAGGGACAAACAUCCAUAUGAUCCCAUAGGCUUCUUUUAAGGGUUCCAAUUUGGAAAAAGAAUUGAUAGUCUCUAUUUCUGUUGUAUCAAUUAUUAUUUCAACGAUCAACUUCUCCCAUAACGAUAUCUAUGUUACCUAGUAUUGUCAUAAUAUCAGCCAAUUUCAUUCUUUUAACUAACUGAGGAAGAAUUUGCAAAUUGAUAAAACCUGGUGGCCGAAUUUUGUAUCUCCAAGGAAAAACGCUCGGAUCUCCUAUGAUAAAAAUUCCCAAUUCUCCUUUUGGGGCUUCAACUCUCACAUAAAGUUCUUUUUUCAAUAAUUCAAAAGUUGGAGAAGGUUUUUUACUAAUAAACUAAUAUUCAAAAUCAUUCCAUUCAGGAUGUUUAAUUUGUCAAAAUGUCGAAUUUCUAAAUUUUUGUAAGGCCCUUCGGGAAUUCCUUCCAGAGCAUGUUGAAUAAUCUUUGUAGAUUCUGUCAUUUCACCGAUUCGUACUAAAUAAUGAAUCCCCUUCUCGUUGCCAUUGAAGAGUCCAAUCAAAUUUGUCGUAAGACUCAUAAUGAUCAACUUUACGAAGAUCCCAUUCUAUUCUGGAAGGUCGUAGCAUUGGUCUCGAUAAACUCCAAUUUAAUGCCUCGUAUUGCCCAAUAAUGCCUAUGCCUUCAACUUGUUCUAAAAAAAUAGGAUUCCCGGUAAUAAGUUUUUGAUACUCAACAACCCUUGUUAAAAAAUAAUUGCAAAAAUCCAAACAUUUAUCUACCCAGCCAUAGGGUAGAUCGGCAACCACUCCUCCAAUACAAAAAUUACUAUGCAUUAUUCGCAUAUCGGUAGCAGCUUUGAAUAGGUCAUAUAUCAAUUCUCUUUCUCAAAAAAUAUAGAAGAAAGGGGUCUGCGUACCAAUAUCCACCAUAAAAGGACCGAGCCAUAACAAAUGAGAAGCGAUCCGACUUAACUCCAACAUAAUGACUCUGAUAUAGCUAGCCCUUUUAGGUACUUGAAUAUUGCCUAAUUGUUUGGGUCCAUUUGUAGUUAUUGCUUUUGUUAACAUAGUAGCUAAAUAAUCCCAAUGUGUUACAUAAGGUAAAUAUUGUAUAAUUGUUUGAUUUUCCCCAAUUUUCUCCAUCCCUCUAUGUAAAUAACCUAAUAUUGGUUCGCAGUCGACAACAUAUUCACCAUCUAGAGUAACGAUGAGUCGAAUAACACCGUUCAUUGAUGGGUGCUGAGGCCCCAUAUUGACUAUCAUGAGGUCUUUUCUUGUAGUUGGUGUAAUCAUAAGUUUUUUAACGAUUCAUUCUUCCAUGAAUUACUGAAAUUGAAAAGAAGUUCAUCAAAAUUUAAUCGAAACAUAUAAGUGAAAAUGAAAUGACUCUUCAAAUUAAUCAAAUUAACGAGUUUUUGUCUCUCGAAUGUCGAACUGAUUAAUUAAUUCUUUAUAACUUACUCUAUUUUUUUUGACAAAUAAGCUAGCAGUCGUUGACGUUUUCCCAAAAUUUUCUUCAACCUCUCUGAGAUAAAUAGUUCUUUUUGUGCAAUUCUAAAUGUGAAGUAAGUCUCCGUAUCUUAUUGGUGAAAUUGAAUACUUGAAAUUCAACAGAUCCUCUCUUUUCUUCUUGAGAAAUAACUGAAAUGACAGAAUUUUUUACCAUAAAUGAAUUUCCCCUUUCUUUAUUUUACAGAUAUGGAUUUUAUCGAAUUUUAUCGAUCAGUAAUAAUAAUGCCAGUAAUUUGAACGUGGUAUAUAGACUUAAUUUCUUUAUGAACCCCUAAUUUUAUCAAUUCCAAUAAAUUAAUCAAAUUUAAAAUUUGAUUCAGAUAGGAAUCCAAAAAGAAAAAGUUGGUAGGUACGUUUUUUUCAUUCACAAAAGCGAAUAAUUUAAACCUAAAAUCCGAAAAUGAAGAAGAUUCCGUUGAUUCAUUUCUAGAUCUAAUCGAUACCUUAUUGAUUUAGUAUCGUCUACUCGAAUUAGAUUCGAAUGAGAUGUAAGACAAGGCAUGUGUGCAUUUGUUUUCUUUCAGAUACUCUAUACGAGACAGGGUAUAUAGUAAUAUCAAUUAAUUUUCAAUCGUGGAUACAUAUGUAUCCUUAAGAUACGGAAACGGCUACCAUUGUUGGUAUCGAACCAAUAACGAUUCAUACAAGCUAAAUCUUCUAAUCGAUAAUCAAGCCAAAGAAAGAACUUUAAUUUAAUUAAUUCAUUUUAAUCUUUAUAAAGAGGUUUCCUUUCAUCCAAAAAUUUACUCCAGUUUUUUACAUUAGUUUCAUUGGAAAAUACUGAAUUUCUAUCGACGCCAUUCCAAUUCAAAGAAUUAAAAAAACUUCGAAUUCUCAAUUCUCUUCGACGUCUAGACCAUAAAAUAUUUUCAGGAACAAGCAAAUCAAAAUGAUUUUUAUCAACAUAUCUUUGGUCUCGGUAUCUUUGAUUAGUUUGGUGUUUACUUUUAUGAACCAAUGAAAUACCUACGGUUUGAUACAUAAUAAAUUGUCCAUUAUUUUUUACAGACAAUCGAAUAGGUUCGAUAAUCAAUAACCCCUUCUUCAUCAAUUCUGUAAGAGGUAAAUUCGCCUGAAUCAGCAUUAUAUCCAAACUCAUUUCUCUCCUUUGAAUUGACGAUAUAGCAAUUUUGUUUGGGUUUAUCAGUCGAAGCAGGAGACAAUAUACCUUUACAUUUUCGAUUAUUCUUUGAUUCAAAGUAUCGUUCCAUCUCAAUUGAAAAAGCAAAUAACGUUUCAAGAACAAAUCUAGUUCUGCUUCCGUGUUGCUUUUGUAUUGUUUUUUAUUUUUACCCUUCUUUGUGUUUGAUUCCGCGUAAUCUUUUUCAAGAUCGUUUUGAUGUUUUGAGAAAACAGGGCCCAGAUUUCCUUUGUUUUCUAUAUCUGAUCCACGCUCUCUUUUUCCUUGACUUGCGGGUUCUUUUGCUUCUUGAAUUCGAUUCUUUAUUUUUUUAUUUGAUGGUAGAAAAAAGUUUUUUUUGUUGUUUUUAUUGAUAUUUUGAUUUUUACUAACAUUUUCAUUUGUAUUCAAAUUUAAAAGAAGUAAUUUUCUUGGAAUAAUCCACGAUUUUAUUUUAUAUACAUUAUAAAGUAGUACAAAUUCUGGGAAGAAUCAAAAUUCCAUACCCAAUAUGGGACGAUUAAAUAUUUUUUCAUUUAUUCCCAUCCAAUCAAAGAAGUCUUUUUUCGAAUUUUUUUUAGUUUUUUCUGGAUUUUGAUGAGUUGUAAGAUAAAAAAGUCCUUUUUUAUUAAUUAUUUCAUAAUUAUUAAUACCAAUUUUAGUAUUUCGAUUACUGUUGGUAUCGAUCUUAACCCAGGCCUCAAUAUCUCCUUUUUGUCUAACAGAAAAAUGGAGAAUUUUCCAAUCAAAAUAUUUUCUAUAUUUUCUAUCGAGAUUUCUUUCUAUAUGUAGAUGUAGAAGAUUGCCUUUUAUUAGAUAAUUAUUGAUAUGAAGAUUGUCGGGCAUAUCAAAAGGGUUGUGUUUGGGCGUGUUGGAAUUAUAAGAAAUUUCGAAGUUCUUAUUUACUUGAAAGGGUAAUCUAGAAAUAAAUGAGUAACUUUUAUUUUCAUAAUUAAUCGAUUUAUAUGAUAAAAGAUCAUAUCUAUAACAUUUUUUAAAAUUAUCUUUUUGGUUUGAUAAUGAAUAGAGUUCAGAAUCAUUUUCUUUUUUGUAAUGAAUUAAUUGGUCUUUUUCAUAUGAAUUCCAUUUGUUUAAGUUUCUAUUUUUAUUUUGAGCCAUACAACUUUGAUUAACCCCAGUUCUCCAUUUUUUUGGCAUUAAUCUAGACCAUCUAAUCUUAGAUAAAUCGUAUUGAUAAUGCCGUCUUAACCAGUUUUUCCAUUGAUUGAUUCUAUAACUCUGAGGUUUUUUAUGUUUUAAUUCAGAAUGAAAUAUUCCUAGUGUUCUAAAAUAGUCCUUUAUUUUAGUCUUAAGGAAAAAAGACGUUCUGUUAUAUUGAAGAACAGAUUUAAAUUUAGACAAAUUAAUAACUUGGGUUUGUGAUAAUUUGUAAAAUACAUAUGCUUGUGACAAGUAGGAUAAAUCAAAAAAACUAUGUGAAUUUUUCUUACUAAUAUUAUAAAUAUUAUAAAGUGACUUUUUUAUAGUCGAAAUAAAGAUAAAGUUAAUUUUGUUUUUAUUAUUAAUUUUUUCUUGAUUUAUUUCAUUAUUGGAAAUGUAUUUCUCAAUCAAUUUCUUUGUUGAUUUAAGACGGAGUUGUGUAUUAAUUCUUGUAAUAUUAAUGAUAGAUAAAAAUAGAUCGAUGUAUAAUCUUUGAAUGAAUAAUUUUCUAAAAUAAUGGAAUUGACAUAUUAAUCGAGUAUUUCUUUUUUUUAAUAUUUGGAAAAUAUUUUUUGGCGAUUUAGGACUAAUGUCUAUUUCUGGAGUUACUUUCUUUUUCUCUUUUGUAAUUCUUUCUAUUUGAUUUUUUAUUGUACUUGUUCUAUCAGUCAAAUCCUUCAUUUUGGUUUCUAUCAGUGAAGAAUUUGGCCAAUUUCCAGAUUCAAUUUGACUAAAUGAUUCGUUAAUUAUUUGAUUACUAAUUAGAUAAUCUUUUUCUUUUUUCGUUUCAUUCGAUUCAGAUAUUUCUUUGAAUCUAAAUAAUACAAUUGGAUUUAUGUUUGAAAGUUCUUUUUUUAUUUUUUUUAGAAAUAGAAUAUUUUUUAUAAGCCAUUUUUUGGUUUCUUUUGAAACUCUUCGAAAUAAUUUUGUUUUUCCUUUUAAAACUUUUCGAGUUAUAGUUAUAAAAGUUAUAAAAUAUUUCUUUUUAAAUUUUCCAAUUUUUUUUUCGAUUCCUUAAAAAUGGGCUCAAAAAAGGAAGGGCACUUUCGGGGAGAACCAAAGGAAGUUCAGCUUCCAUUCCCAAAACUGUUAAAAAACAAAAAAUCAUUUUUUUGUUUUUUCUUUUUCAUCAGCUCUACACGGGAGGGAUACAGUUUACAUAUAUGCCAAGGUUUCAGACAAAAAGGAAAUAAAAUUUUGAUCUGAAUCCCAUCGCUCAACCAAUUUUGUGGAAAUUCUGUUUCUGAUAAUUGAACACCAUUAUAAGUACAUGUAAUAUGCAUUUCUCUAUUCCAUUCCUGCAAUCCUCAGACCAUUCAGGAAGUUGCAAGAAUAACAUACACCCGAGAUUUUUGGCUAUUAUCAAUGAAAGUAAUACAACAUAUUUUUGAAGAAUUGAUUGAGUUAUUAACAUGUAACCACUUAUUAUUUGCGCACAAAGAAUGUUAUCCCAGGCUUCUCUACAGCUAGC